rnacentral:rRNA from 1 species
UACGUAGGGAGCAAGCGUUGUCCGGAUUUACUGGGUGUAAAGGGUGCGUAGGCGGCACUGCAAGUCAGGUGUGAAAACCAUGGGCUUAACUUAUGGAUUGCACUUGAAACUGUGGUGCUUGAGUGAAGUAGAGGCAGGCGGAAUUCCCGGUGUAGCGGUGAAAUGCGUAGAGAUCGGGAGGAACACCAGUGGCGAAGGCGGCCUGCUGGGCUUUAACUGACGCUGAGGCACGAAAGCAUGGGUAGCAAACAGG